UACGGGGGGGGCAAGCGUUGUUCGAAAUUACUGGGCGUAAAAGGGCUCGUAGGCGGCCAACUAAGUCAGACGUGAAAUCCCUCGGCUUAACCCGGGGAACUGCGUCUGAUACUGGAUGGCUUGAGAUUGGGGAGAGGGAUGCGGAAUUCCAGGUGUAGCGGUGAAAUGCGUAGAUAUCUGGAGGAACACCGGUGGCGAAGGCGGCAUCCUGGACCAACACUGACGCUGAGGAGCGAAAAGCCAGGGGGAGCAAACGGGG
rnacentral:rRNA from 1 species